AGAGUUUGAUCCUGGCUCAGAUUGAACGCUGGCGGCAGGCCUAACACAUGCAAGUCGAGCGGAAACGAGUUAUCUGAACCUUCGGGGGACGAUAACGGCGUCGAGCGGCGGACGGGUGAGUAAUGCCUAGGAAAUUGCCCUGAUGUGGGGGAUAACCAUUGGAAACGAUGGCUAAUACCGCAUAAUGCCUACGGGCCAAAGAGGGGGACCUUCGGGCCUCUCGCGUCAGGAUAUGCCUAGGUGGGAUUAGCUAGUUGGUGAGGUAAUGGCUCACCAAGGCGACGAUCCCUAGCUGGUCUGAGAGGAUGAUCAGCCACACUGGAACUGAGACGCGGUCCAGACUCCUACGGGAGGCAGCAGUGGGGAAUAUUGCACAAUGGGCGCAAGCCUGAUGCAGCCAUGCCGCGUGUGUGAAGAAGGCCUUCGGGUUGUAAAGCACUUUCAGUCGUGAGGAAGGUAGUGUAGUUAAUAGCUGCAUUAUUUGACGUUAGCGACAGAAGAAGCACCGGCUAACUCCGUGCCAGCAGCCGCGGUAAU
rnacentral:rRNA from 1 species